AAAAGUGAAAGACGGUCUUGCUGUCACUUAUAGAUGGAUCCGCGCUGCAUUAGCUAGUUGGUAAGGUAACGGCUUACCAAGGCAACGAUGCAUAGCCGACCUGAGAGGGUGAUCGGCCACACUGGAACUGAGACACGGUCCAGACUCCUACGGGAGGCAGCAGUAGGGAAUCUUCCGCAAUGGGCGAAAGCCUGACGGAGCAACGCCGCGUGAGUGAUGAAGGUCUUCGGAUCGUAAAACUCUGUUAUUAGGGAAGAACAUAUGUGUAAGUAACUGUGCACAUCUUGACGGUACCUAAUCAGAAAGCCACGGCUAACUACGUGCCAGCAGCCGCGGUAAUACGUAGGUGGCAAGCGUUAUCCGGAAUUAUUGGGCGUAAAGCGCGCGUAGGCGGUUUUUUAAGUCUGAUGUGAAAGCCCACGGCUCAACCGUGGAGGGUCAUUGGAAACUGGAAAACUUGAGUGCAGAAGAGGAAAGUGGAAUUCCAUGUGUAGCGGUGAAAUGCGCAGAGAUAUGGAGGAACACCAGUGGCGAAGGCGACUUUCUGGUCUGUAACUGACGCUGAUGUGCGAAAGCGUGGGGAUCAAACAGGAUUAGAUACCCUGGUAGUCCACGCCGUAAACGAUGAGUGCUAAGUGUUAGGGGGUUUCCGCC
rnacentral:rRNA from 1 species